CUAGCUCUGGGACAUCCAGAGAACUUUCCAGAGAUGCUUUGGUGCCUUCGGGAACUCUGAGACAGGUGCUGCAUGGCUGUCGUCAGCUCGUGUUGUGAAAUGUUGGGUUAAGUCCCGCAACGAGCGCAACCCUUAUCCUUUGUUGCCAGCGGUCCGGCCGGGAACUCAAAGGAGACUGCCAGUGAUAAACUGGAGGAAGGUGGGGAUGACGUCAAGUCAUCAUGGCCCUUACGAGUAGGGCUACACACGUGCUACAAUGGCGCAUACAAAGAGAAGCGACCUCGCGAGAGCAAGCGGACCUCAUAAAGUGCGUCGUAGUCCGGAUUGGAGUCUGCAACUCGACUCCAUGAAGUCGGAAUCGCUAGUAAUCGUGGAUCAGAAUGCCACGGUGAAUACGUUCCCGGGUCUUGUACACACCGAGGGGGUGGAGA
rnacentral:rRNA from 1 species